AAACUUUCAACAACGGAUCUCUUGGUUCUCGCAUCGAUGAAGAACGCAGCGAAACGCGAUAGUUAAUGUGAAUUGCAGAAUUCAGUGAAUCAUCGAGUCUUUGAACGCACAUUGCGCCUUUUGGUAUUCCGAAAGGCAUGUCUGUUUGAGCGUCAUU
rnacentral:rRNA from 2 species